AUGAGGGAUGCUCAACAGGGGAAGAUCAAGUUCAACAGAGAGAACGACGCGCUGACAAAAGCCCUCGGGAAUCCUGAACACGGAGGACGUGUACGAGGCAUGGGGCACAUUCCGUGGAAAAUAGGGUUCCCCCAGAACGAUGACCCGUACGGUUACAGAAGCCGUAAGAGAAAGAUGGAUCGGGAAGAAGAUGUUGUGGCGCGGUUGGCAUCGGAAAUGGAUGUGAUGAAGAAAACCAUGAGUGUACUAGUAGCCGAAAGAGAUGCAGCUCGGGUGCAGCAUGAAGAUCAUCCAGCGGAUCUCGGAAGCCAGCAGCGGAGAAGCAGCGUGGCUUCCACGGAGGCCCCACCGGCUGGUGCAGAUGCACCGACGAUCGAAAUUACUGCACCGGAGCCUCUGGUGGUCCAAAUUACUGCACCGGAGCCUCUGGUGGUCGAAAUUACUUCACCGGAGCAUCCUCGCUACCCCGUGGACGAUAUAAAGGAGAUGAAAGAAUGUCAUCUGUAUUAUCCUAUCGGGAACAUGUCCAUGAAGGUAGCCAUCGGCAGUGCUUUACCAUGUUUACCUGGAGCACUCCACCACAACAACCCCAUUCAAGAUGGCUAUGCUCGUGUCACGGUGGAGGACAUAGUCCAAGGGUUUGAGGACCUGGAGAUUGACAUUGCUACACCUGAAGGAGAGAAAAGACUUGGAGAUGUCAAGCGCCAUUUCAUUCUAUGGCAAAAGAAGUUUAUCAAGUUUCCAGGCGAGGCGCCAAGGACAACAAGUCCACCCCCCUACGGUGGUGGUGGUGGCGGUGGCGGUGGUGGUGGUGGUGGUGGUGGUGGUGGUGGUGGCGGUUCACCUACACCUCCGUCACGUCAGCCGACGCCGCCCCCCAGUCCACAACGUCCGGCGGGUGAUCAGCCGCCGCCCCCCAGUCCUCGUCCGGCGGGUGAUCAGACGCCGCCCCCCAAUCCACCUCCGGCAAAGAAGCAGAAGCAGUCCUGGAUUAUUAACCCGGACCCUUAUGUACCUAAGACCACAAAGGUACCGGAGCCAUCACUGAAGCCUCUCCCCACAAGGCCUUGGGAACGUAGUGCCGAGGAAGUCGACGCGGUCGCGGCUGCUGAUUUGGAGAAAUGGAAGGCGGACUGCAAGAAGAAAAGAGAGCCCGAGCCCAAGCCAGUAUUUUCUGAUGAGCAAAAGAAGUGGGCUAAGUCAUUUUUGAGCACACCGUCCCAAGCCGCGAAGAAUCUGCCUAACGACUAUGCACGUGAACUUCGCAGGCAGGCACUCAUGUUCAAGGAGAACAAAGAGCGGGAGAAGGCCGAAAGUAAAAAAAGCGGGAAACAAGUUGCCCAGCUCGGGGAACAAAGUAAACAAUCGAUUGCCCCGCUUAUAGUGGAAGCCUUCUGUCCGGAUGCCCCCGAGAUCAUACAAGCUGCGGCAGCACAGGGAUUGACUGUAACGAGUGCCAGAGAACAAGCGGCCAACUUAGGUAUUACUCUUCGUGAACUGUUAGGCCUUGAUGAGGCGCCAGUGAAGGAGGUAGUAAUUACAUAUGUCAAGAAUGGGCCUCUCGUCGAGCCUGCGCAGGAAAAGGAUCUACCUCCACAAAUGAAAGGUCUGCUGAAAUGGUACAAGGGUUACAUAAAAAAUAAAAGCGCCAAAGAAUAUAUUUAUGCGGAAGUUAGACAUGAGCAUCACUUCAAACAUUACUAUGUACAAAUUGAACUGAGUGAAUUGUUCCAGCUUUUCAAUCUGCGCGAGCUCGAUAAAUCUAUCAUCAGUUGCUAUGUUCUAAUGAAGAUUAAGGAAUGCAGAGUAAGGAACAUCCAUGAUGUUGGGUUCAUUGACCCACACAUCGUUAAUGGACAUGUGUUGGAGCGUCACCCCGCCGACGUGGAGGCAGACCUGUGGCACUUUCUUACAAAGCAGGAACUCAAAAGUGAUAUUCUAUUUCCUUACCAUUUUGAGUUCCACUAG
rnacentral:rRNA from 1 species